rnacentral:sRNA from 1 species
AUCAACACAAACCGGAACCUCCACCACGUGCCCGAAUGAGGGGUGUUGAUGUCGGGGGAAACCCUCCCGUGAUAUAAGCGGGAUAGAGCGAAAGACAAAGACCGGGGAAAAAAACUAAAGCGCCCUUGCGGCGCUUUAGUUUU